GUGGCCACCAAGGGGCCGGGCCCUGCACAGCGCCCUGGGGAAGCUGGUUUGAAAGCUCUGGAGCGACCCCAAUGCCGGCUACUGCCUGGGGUCUAGGAAUCCAGAACAUUCCACACAUUGCCUAAGUCAACAACCUGUUGCACACACACACCUGCAACUGUUUUGCAAAAAUAUUUACGUAAUUUCGAAGCAGCUCUUCACAAAAUAUUCAUCAGUUACAGAAGGAAGUCACUUCACAGUGGAAAAAUCUGGCAGGUGCCACCUUAAUCAAGUAACCAAAAUGAACAUCAUCAGUAAUAGGACAAAUUGCAAUCGUGUGCCUCCUGAUAGUCUAGCAAGAAGAACACAGCAUCACUUCUAUGAUGCUCCUGCCAAUAAUAUAUAAUUGGAAUCUAAUCCUAAAGCAACAAAUUCAAAUUAAGGAAAAUUCUACAAAAUAAUUGGCCUGUAAUAGAAGUGUUAAAGGUCAUGAAAGUUAAGGAAAGACUGAAGAACUGUUCCAGACUGAAGAUGAAAGAGAUGUGAGAAAUAAGUGCAGUGGUGAUUCUGAACUGGAUCCUGACUUGGCAAAACUUGAAUAGGUCUGUUGGUUGGAUGGUAGAAAUAUAGUAAUGUUGAUUUCCUGAUUUUUGCUAGCUAUAUUACAAUUUUAUUGGAUUCAGUCCUUGUUUACAGAAGACACACAGUAUGUAGGGGUUAUAAGAAGUCAGCUCAGGAACUUUCAAAUCAUUUAGCAAAACAAAAGUUCUUCGUACUUUAAUUCCAAGACUUCUAUAAAUUUGAGAUUAUUUUUAAAAUACUUAAAAAAAACUCCUUUAAAGUCUCUCAA
rnacentral:lncRNA from 1 species